rnacentral:rRNA from 52 species
GAGUUUGAUCGUGGCUCAGAUUGAACGCUGGCGGCAUGCCUUACACAUGCAAGUCGAACGGCAGCACGGGAGCUUGCUCCUGGUGGCGAGUGGCGAACGGGUGAGUAAUGCAUCGGAACGUAUCCUGGAGUGGGGGAUAACGUAGCGAAAGUUACGCUAAUACCGCAUAUUCUGUGAGCAGGAAAGCGGGGGACCUUCGGGCCUCGCGCUCUUGGAGCGGCCGAUGUCGGAUUAGCUAGUUGGUGAGGUAAAGGCUCACCAAGGCGACGAUCCGUAGCAGGUCUGAGAGGAUGAUCUGCCACACUGGAACUGAGACACGGUCCAGACUCCUACGGGAGGCAGCAGUGGGGAAUUUUGGACAAUGGGGGCAACCCUGAUCCAGCCAUGCCGCGUGAGUGAAGAAGGCCUCGG